UGUAUUCUCGAUUCUCUCUCAUCCCUCUCUAUGCCAAAUUUCCUAAUCUUUACCUCCGGGCCGGAGAUCCUCCUGGACUAAUCCACCUGUAUGGGUUAGCAGGGCAAGCGUGCGGCUGGAGACAUGGCUUGCGGCGGCCCAAGCAGAGGAUGGAGAGAUGCGCGAUGCGGCCUGCCGUCGAGAUGCUCUGCAGGCGGCCAAUGAUGUAUGGCGCGGGGCGUUGGGGCAGGAGGUAGGCGGCGCUUCUUAGGUGACGAGGUAGAGGCUGCGGGGAACAUCGGCUGUGGAGGUCGGCUGGGGCCUUGGCCAGUACGAGCUGCUGACGAGGUGUUGCCGGUGUGGUCGCGGAGGUCUGCGUCGAGCUGCGUUCGCCGCGGGAGCCAAAGGAGUACUACCUGCGCCGAAGGAGAGCAACAGUACGUGGAGGGGCGGCGCGGUUGAGGAGGUUUGUGAUUCACUAGCGGUAAUGAUUUCUGAAAUUUGGUUUGGCAUGCUUUCUUCAAUGGUAGUAGCGCUGUCCGUGAUGAUCUUUUCUCACUCUUUGCCGGCCACCUCGAGGUGCUGAUGCUCGCCGCUGUCGUCACUUGACGGACAACUGCCCUUCGCCCUCUCUGUCACAGGGAUACGGCUGGUGCCAGUAUGUGUUCGCAACUUCGCAUACGAGCGUGGGCGUCAAUGGAAGGUAGGAGGACAGCCCUGACAUCUAUUUUUCUUCCAUAUGCCAUGCGGGCUGUUCCCCAUUCGGUCCGGGUGGAGUGUGUGCUGAUGCAGGCUAGGACGGUGAAGGCGACACGCUCGAUCGCGGAUAGAAGAGGCCAAGGUGAAUGCCGUGCUGUGACAAAUGUCCUGGCUACUUCUCUUGAUUUACCCGACAUCCAGAGGAUUCAGAACAUGAAGAAGGCAGGGGUUCAUGUUGAUUAACAUGAAGAGAAGGUGAAUAUACCCAGUAAAUGCUCCAGAGUAUUAGCAUUUGAUGGAGCCGGCAAACAAUAUUUGCAAAUGUUUUCCACUUGCAGAAGCAGCCACGUAUGUUUAGCCAACUGCAGAUCAAUUACUACUUUCAAUUCCGAAGUGGUGUGCAUAUAUUACAGAGUUGACAGUACUGAAUUUUGGAACUUGUCUUCAUGUUACAAUCACUUGGCCAAUGACAUGUGCAAUGAGCGAUAGUUUUGAGCUUCUUUACUUUUGAGUGCCAACAUUAGUAUGGGGGCUAAUCCAGCCAAAGGAUCAGCAGAAUUGGUUGUCUAAUUCAUGAACAUUUAUCAAAGAGUUUUAAGGUCAGUAGUAGGCCUGCCAAAAAAUGUUUCCAUAGUAUCCCUCCAAUUGUGAGCUUUUGUAGUAAAAUGAUUCUAAUGGUAAAAUAUAACAACACAUACUGAUAAUUAAAUUGUAGCUUUGAUGCAAAAAAGAUACCAUCCAGGUUUACAACUCAAUCAAAAGCAGAGUGAUGGUAGGAAUAUGGAUAAGCUCCGCAUGAAGUACUCUGAUAUUGAGAACCAGUAAUGAGAAAUGUAUGCUGGAGUCAGCAGAAACCACAUAUUGUUAUGGAAGCAAAGAGGUAGUCAAAGAACUAUCGUCUGGACAAAGCUGAGAUCUUGCAACAGUUUUGUCGGAGGAGUUGACUAAAACAAACAUGAAUAUAGUAUUUCAAACAGCCAAAGUUGAAUUCUUGGGGGGAUUUGUUUGGUCACUGGAAGGAAUGAGGAUGGUGAUGAAGCUUGCAAUACACGCUACCCCUCCUCUCCAGCUUGCCCAGGGCAUAUUUUGUGCAGGCAUGAUCUGGGGGCUUGGUUGACUUCUUUGCUUAUAGUGCUGGUUUAUAAUGACACUUUUUGUAAUAACAACGCCAGAGCAAAGCGAACACGGUGUGCAGUUUGUGAAGAAACUAUGAUCUUCAUGCACAGCUUUGUCCUGUGCAAAAUUAACUAGAUGGGGAGAGAUUAACAAGGCAGGCAACAGAUGCCUUGGCUAGCCACCCAAGAAAUCAUGGGGACAUUGUCAAAAAAGAUUGUACUCUUCUGUUUUCAUAUAUGAAGCUCUCUUUCACCUGAAGAAGUGUUGUUUUGAUGUACGAAGCUCCCUUUCACCUUAAAAAAUGUAUUAUUUACUCCAAUCAAGGUAGAAUCUGGAAUCUGUGUAACCUACAAUGUUUUAUCUUCAUAUUACUGGAGCAUGCACAUACACGUCUAAA